ACCUGGAACACACAAGACAUCAAUGAUUAAUAAAAACGUAUGAAAAUAUAUGGAAUAUGAAUAUCUAUGGGAGACACUCAACAACCUGGGUCAGCCGGAGAACUGACUGAACAAAUGACGAGGGCACGGAGUUUUACCUGGUCAGGUCACAAGGUUGCGAACAGCAUCAGUCACAGCCUCUCGCUCUGGGCUGUCCAACACCUGCGAUAAGAAAUCCACUGCCUGGAGAGACCCACCAAGGGAACAUCAAUGUGUGACUACAUGCAGAGACCUCACAAUUACAUUGACUGGCUCUUACACACCCCUACAUCGUUCCUCUGUCAAAUCCCUUCACCUUGCAGUGGGGGCUGUGGAUCUUGGCCUGUACCACCAGGCUCUCCAGAGGGGUGCGUAGGAUCUCAGGCACAGGGAAGGUCGUCAUUGAUUCCAGGCGUUGCCGUGGGAACAGGUGGUAGGCAUGUCCGGGCUGGCAUCGCCCCGCCCUCCCUCUACGCUGAGUGACGUUGGAGCGCGAGAUCCAGACUGUGUCUAGACAUGACACCUGGGGACCAGCAAGACAGAGGUUUGCAACACCACACUAGUAUAUUAUAGCCAAUCACCAGUUGUAUUUGCGAACCCCAGCGUGGCGGCUCCUUGCCAGAAGUGACCGUCACCUACCUUGGUCCGUGUGUCGUAGUUCUGCUCCUUCUGAGAUCCCGCGUUUACUACGUGAACAAUGUCGUCGAUGGUGAUAGAGGUCUCAGCGAUGUUGGUGGCCAGGACGAUCUUCCUCCGGCCCUCAGGAGGGCGCUGGAACACGGUCUGCUGGUCACCCACCGACAUACUUGAGUGUACUGGAAAGAGAGAACAUGGGGUCACUAAUAUAAGAAUAUUUUGAAGAUAAAUAAACAGAGUUUGAGAGGAUGCGAGGACAAGAGUACCAAACUAAAUAUAGUACUAAUGGUUAAUAGGGAAUUGUAAAUAGGAGUUGGGUCUCAGUUCAACAGCGGUUUAGAAUCUCUGGAAUGUCACUCCUGAACUCAGAGCUGCGUGUACCAUGUCCUCUACAUUGAGUCGGGGGCAGGAUACUUGUUAUUUGGCCAAGUUGUACUGCAAGGACUUCUGAUUGGUCAACCCCAGGCUAGGGUGGGGGGAUUUAAAUGGCAUCCUGUUCCUUCGUUCAGUGGGGAAAAGCUGAGAAUAGGGGAGACUGAACAUCUACCUCCCAGCAUUACAUCUUGAUUUAUCCUCUCUAAAUAAACCUAUUUUUCUCCCCCUGA